ensembl:snRNA U6 U6 spliceosomal RNA
GUGCUCGCUUCGGCAGCACAGGGACUAAAAUUGGAACGAUACAGAGAAGAUUAGCAUGGCCUCUGCGCAAGGAUGACACGCAAAUUCGUGAAGCAUUCCAUAUUUUU